rnacentral:rRNA from 1 species
AACGAACGCUGGCGGCAUGCCUAACACAUGCAAGUCGAACGAGACCUUCGGGUCUAGUGGCGCACGGGUGCGUAACGCGUGGGAAUCUGCCCCUUGGUUCGGAAUAACAGCGAGAAAUGCUGCUAAUACCGGAUAAUGACGUAAGUCCAAAGAUUUAUCGCCAAGGGAUGAGCCCGCGUAGGAUUAGCUAGUUGGUGUGGUAAAGGCGCACCAAGGCGACGAUCCUUAGCUGGUCUGAGAGGAUGAUCAGCCACACUGGGACUGAGACACGGCCCAGACUCCUACGGGAGGCAGCAGUGGGGAAUAUUGGACAAUGGGCGAAAGACCGUGAUCCAGCGAAUGCCGCGUGAGUG